UCAUCUGUUUCCGCCCUUUGAUGUUCAUCCCGGAAGAAUCGAUUUGAUCUUGAUUCAUCUCAGAUUCAAACUCCGCGUCAAGUCCUCGCGGUGAAAGCGCGCGAGGGCGGGGGGGCAAUAAAUUAUGUUAAUGAGUGAGGACAGAUUGGACAGAGGGGGGCGUGUUCCUGGGGGGGGGGGGUGCCCGCGCCUCCAGCCAUCGUGCCCCUCAGCUGUGUACAUGCGCGCUGCCUCCUCGCGCAGAAUCACUCCGCAGAAUCUCACCCGCAACAAGUUUCCGCCGCGCGGCUCCGUCCGUCAACUCGCUCCGCUGUCCCGGUCACCGCCGAGGGCCGUGAACGCACCGCCGCACACACGCGCCGAGCCGCGCGCCACAGACUCGUGACUCCGCAGCGGCCGCAGCUCGCUCCGAAGCGGCGCGUGCAGCCUGUAGCGUGUCUCGUGAAGUGAACCUGAGCUCGCGGAGGAGCAGCACCUGAACAUGGAGAAAGACGCGGCGCGUCAGGAGCGGCGCCGCCGCCGCGCCGCGGCGCUCAGCGUCGCCGCGUGCGCGCUGUCGGUGGCGUCCGUCGCCUUCUGCGUCCUGCUCAGCAUCAACGCGGCGGAGCUCCGGAACCGGGUCCUGGACCUGGAGAAGCCGCAGUCGGCCCGCGAGGACGUGGAUUCUCUGGUGGAGCAGAAAGUGGAGGAGCUGCUGACACAGCGCGCGUUCGAGAAUUACGUCAAGAUCCGGACCGCGAGACAAACGUCACCUGAAUGCAACUGCCCCCCAGGACCUCCUCCGGGAAAGCGAGGAAAGACGAGGCCGCAACGGAGAGCCCGGUACCUCCUAGGGCCCCCCAGGUCCAAAAGGUGAAAAGGUGGGUGGAUCCAGCACCUCUUCCCGGGUCAAAGCGUCCUCCAAAGCCCGUUUAGCCUGUUAGCUUAGCUCAGAUUAGUUCCCCUGAUGAUCAGAAGUGUAAAACCAGUUCUGGACUGGAGGCCCGGUGCUGGUCCGGCCCGAGGUCGUGGGACCGUUGGGCAGAUUUGGGAAUUCUGGAGCAUCUGCUGCAGUCUCGCUCACAUGAGGCCGACUGGUGUCUUUAAUGGGAACCAUUUUGACCCCCCAUUACCCAUCUUCCUCCCCCCACCCACCCGUUACCCCCCCCCAUAACCCCCCCCUCAUAAACCCCCCCCCCCCCCCCCCCCCCCCCCCCAGCAGCCGCUCCGGUUUCCUGUUCAAACCGGUUUUUGGAACGGCAGCGUGGAGAAAAGUUACAAAA
rnacentral:lncRNA from 1 species